UGCUGAUAUAUUCCUCUGAAGGAAAAAUGCAAGAAAAACAGCUAGAAGGAAAAUAAAAAAACCUGAAUUUUUUACCAUUCAAGACAGAUAAAGUGCUUUCAUGCUUAUUAUUUACAUUCUGAGAUUAGAAGAAAUGUAGUACUUUUUAUUUCCCUAAUACUGAUGCACAUCAUUUUGAAUUGCAUUGACGAAAUUGACAAUAGUUAAUCAUUGAUCAGCAGAAUUUGUUGAAGCCAUUCCUUUUGAAGUCCUCUUGCACAGCAGCAACAACAUUGUCAACCUUGUUAAACUCACCACCACUAACAACUUGAAGCAAUCUUUGUUGAAGCAG
rnacentral:misc_RNA from 1 species